rnacentral:rRNA from 1 species
UACGUAGGGGGCAAGCGUUGUCCGGAAUUAUUGGGCGUAAAGAGCGCGUAGGCGGUCCGAUAAGUCGGCUGUGAAAGUCAGGGGCUCAACCCUUGAAAGCCGGCCGAUACUGUCGGACUAGAGUGCGGAAGAGGCGAGUGGAAUUCCUGGUGUAGCGGUGAAAUGCGCAGAUAUCAGGAGGAACACCUAUUGCGAAGGCAGCUCGCUGGGACGUUACUGACGCUGAGACGCGAAAGCGUGGGGAGCAAACAGG